UUUUUAUAUAUUUUUUGUGGAAUUUUUCGGGCACUGUAAAUAUGGGUAUAAACCUGCAAUUCACGGACAUCAGCAAACAGAAACUGGCACUUGGUGCACUGACUUAGUAGGUUAGUCCAAAUAUGUUGAAAAACGUAUGAAAGUGUACAAAACACAUAACAAUAUCACCCAAAACUUGCAUGGAGCAAGAAGAAAUUAUAGAUACGUUUGGGACGUAUCAGGCCCCUCCUGGUGAAACCGCGG
rnacentral:lncRNA from 1 species